GUCAUGGCUCAGAUUGAACGCUGGCGGCAGGCCUAACACAUGCAAGUCGAGCGGCAGCGACAAUAAAGAUUCUUCGGAUGAUUUAUUGGGCGGCGAGCGGCGGACGGGUGAGUAAUGCCUAGGAAAUUGCCCUGAUGUGGGGGAUAACCAUUGGAAACGAUGGCUAAUACCGCAUGAUGCCUACGGGCCAAAGAGGGGGACCUUCGGGCCUCUCGCGUCAGGAUAUGCCUAGGUGGGAUUAGCUAGUUGGUGAGGUAAGGGCUCACCAAGGCGACGAUCCCUAGCUGGUCUGAGAGGAUGAUCAGCCACACUGGAACUGAGACACGGUCCAGACUCCUACGGGAGGCAGCAGUGGGGAAUAUUGCACAAUGGGCGCAAGCCUGAUGCAGCCAUGCCGCGUGUAUGAAGAAGGCCUUCGGGUUGUAAAGUACUUUCAGUCGUGAGGAAGGCGGCGUCGUUAAUAGCGGCGUUGUUUGACGUUAGCGACAGAAGAAGCACCGGCUAACUCCGUGCCAGCAGCCGCGGUAAUACGGAGGGUGCGAGCGUUAAUCGGAAUUACUGGGCGUAAAGCGCAUGCAGGUGGUUUGUUAAGUCAGAUGUGAAAGCCCGGGGCUCAACCUCGGAAUAGCAUUUGAA
rnacentral:rRNA from 1 species